CUUUCCCUCUGGCGGCAUGCUUUACACAUGCAAGUCGAACGGCAGCGCGGGCUUCGGCCUGGCGGCGAGUGGCGAACGGGUGAGUAAUACAUCGGAACGUGCCCAGUAGUGGGGGAUAGCUCGGCGAAAGCCGGAUUAAUACCGCAUACGACCUGAGGGUGAAAGCGGGGGAUCUUCGGACCUCGCGCUAUUGGAGCGGCCGAUGGCAGAUUAGCUAGUUGGUGGGGUAAAGGCCUACCAAGGCGACGAUCUGUAGCUGGUCUGAGAGGACGACCAGCCACACUGGGACUGAGACACGGCCCAGACUCCUACGGGAGGCAGCAGUGGGGAAUUUUGGACAAUGGGCGAAAGCCUGAUCCAGCAAUGCCGCGUGUGUGAUGAAGGCCUUCGGGUUGUAAAGCACUUUUGGCGGGAACGAAAAGGACUGUGCCAAUACCACGGUUCGAUGACGGUACCCGCAGAAUAAGCACCGGCUAACUACGUG
rnacentral:rRNA from 1 species